ACCCAGGCGCAUGGCUCCAUGAAGCAAGAGGAGGAGGCAGAGCGCGAGAGAUCCCGUCCGCCCCAGCCGCGUCUGGGCCAGGAGAAAAGCAAAACCAUAUUCCUGCUGCUGUCAGUUUUGAUGCACUGAGAAAACUUCAGAGACCUAAGCUUUUUCCAGAGAAGAGAAGCUUUACUGGUGUUCCAGCCCUAAGAAACUUAAAUCCUCAGUGUGACACAACUCAGUCCUUCUACUGCAGCAGCUCUUUUAUAAAAGCCUCCCAAAGCUCCAAGAAGGAACAAAGAAUGUGACCCAGUAAGCUCACACCAUAAGUCUAUAUUGCAGAAACCUUUGUUCAACAAAACUGCAGAUGCUCUGUUGAAUCCACUGGAGAUUGUCCUGAUACUAAGGACAAGUAUGCUCAUAUGACAUUAACAGACAAGACACUUUUCAGAAAGACAGAUGGAGUCUCUCUGUCACCCAGACUGGAAUGCAGUGGCAUGAUCUUGGUUCACUGAAACCUCUGCCUUUCUGGUUCAAGCAAUUCUCAUGUUUCAGCCUCCCAGGUAACUGGAAUUACACGCACACGCCACCUCGCCUGGCUAAUUUUUGUACUUUUAGUAGAGACACAGUUUCACCAUGUUGGCCAGGCUGGUCUCUCAAACUCCUGACCUCAAGAGAUCUGCCUGCCUUGGCCUCCCAAAGUGCUGGGAUUACAAGCGUGAGCCACUGCACCUAGCUGGUUAUGCAUAUUUUCAAGUCUAUUGAUACCUAGUGCCAGGAACUUGAUUUCAAGAAGAAAUAUAUGUUGUAUGAAUGCAAGGGCUGUGUUUGCUUUUGCUCACCUGUUUCUGCAGUGGCCAGGCUUUUUGUCACAUUAAAGGUACUCAGUAAAACAUUUGCUCAAUGAAUAAAUGUAUGGCACCUGCCACUGAAAAUUAAGAA
rnacentral:lncRNA from 1 species